GUACUAUUCACAAGAGCAAAGACACAGAAUUAACCUAGGUGGCCAUCCAUGGUAGAUUGGAUAAUGAGAAUGUGGUACAUAUAUACCAUAGAAUAGAAUGUAGCUAUAAAAAAGAAUAAAAUCAUGUCCUUUGCAGCAACAUGGAUGUAACUGGAGGCCAUUAUCCUAAGCUAAUUAAUGUAGGAACAGAAAACCAAAUACCACAUGUUCUCACUUAUAAGUGGGAGCUAAGCAUUGGGUACAAAUGGACAUAAAGAUGGGAACAAUAGACACUGGUGACUACUAGUGGCAGGAGGGAGGAAAGAGGGAAGGACUGAAAAAACUCCUAUUGGGUGCUAUACUUACCACCUAGGUGACGGGAUCAUUCAUACGCCAAACCUCAGCAUCACACAAUAUUCACAUGUAACAAACUUGCACAUGUACUCACUGAAUCUAAAAUAAAAAUUGAAAUUUAAAAAAAUUUUAAAAACAGUGCUUAGUUCAUAUUAAUUAUGCAAUAAAAUUAGCUAUUACAAACUGUCAAUGUAACAGUGCAUGUUUUAGUAACAUGGGGGCGUCAUUCUCUCCAACUUUAUUCCCUUCUGGCAUAUAUUCCAAAAAGAAGCAAAAGAAGUGGUAGGAGCUGGACUUCCUGGCAUCCAGAGUUUUAACUACAAUCAUGAAAGCAUAAGAAUCGUUCACAAGAAAUGGAAUUGGAUGGAGAAAAACAACUUACUGCCAUCAGUUUGGUUCAAAUUGCUGAUGGUUGAUCUGGAGUUUUCUGUCACGAACAGGUUUUGAAACAUGUAGGCAAUGCAUGUGAUAUGGUUUGGCUCUGUGUCCCCAACUAACUCUCAUAUUGAAUUGUAAUUCCCAAUGUUGGGGGAAGGACCUGGUGGGAGGUGAUUGGCUCAUGGGGGCAGAUUUCCUCCUUUUUGUUCUCAUGAUAGUGAAUGAGUUCCCAUGAAAUCUGGUUGUUUAAAAGUGUGUAGCAGUUCCUCUUUCUCUUUCUCUCUGUCUGUCUGUCUGUCUCUCUCUCUCUCUCUCUCUCUCUCUCUCCUGCUGCCAUGUGAACACGUGUUUGCUUUUCCUUUGCCCAUUCACCAUGACGGUGAGUUUCCUGAGGCCUCCCCAAUCAUGCUUCCUGUCCAGCCUGCAGAAAUGACAUGUGGACUGGUGCUCCAGCAGCCAUUUUGGACCAUGAAGUGACCUUGGGAAUGAAAGCUAAGGAUAAUGGAGCAAAAACAUUGAAGCCUGGAUUCCCGAAGAUACCGGAGAGCUGCCAUGCCACCCCUGGAUGGCCUGCUUCCCAAAUUUCUUUUAUGUAAGACAGAAAUCAACUUUAAUCUUUUUAUAUCGUUUUCUCAUAUUUAUGCAGGCAAAUUGAGUCCUAAGUGAUACCAGUUUUUUUGUUUGUUUUUUGAGACGGAGUCUUGCUCUGUUGCCCAGGCUGGAGUGCAGUGGUGCAAACUCGGUUCACGGCAAGCUCUGCCUCCUGGGUUCACACCAUUCUCCCACCUCAGCCUCCUGAGUAGCUGGGACUACGGGUGCCCACCACCACGCCCGGCUAAUUUUUUGUAUUUUUAGUAGAGACGGGGUUUCACCGUGUUAGCCAGGAUGGUCUCAAUCUCCUGACCUCGUGAUCCACCCGUCUAGGCCUCCCAAAGUGCUGGGAUUACAGACAUGAGCCACCACGCCCAGCUGUGAUACCAGUUUUAAUAGGUGUUCAAUGAAGAAAAGGUUCUGUGGUCAAAUAAUUUUGAGAACUAUUACAUUAAACUUUAACAGAUUUCAUUAGUGCAGGACCUCUCAGGGUUUUUAAUAUGUGAACAGGAAUCUCCAAGAACCUCCAGGAGGGGCUACAGUAUACUCAACUUCCCAAACUAACUUGUCCCCAAAACCUCUUUUUAGUGGAAAAUCUUAUGGGACAAAUAACUUGAGAAGAUGAAAUGUUGCUUUAAAAAUUUUUUGUAUUUUUGACUCUCCCUUUCUAAUCCAUCCUUUUCCAGGUAGCUAGAGAGGUGUUUGUUAAAGAUAAACUUGAUGACAUCACAUUCUUGUUUUAAAUCCUUGAAUGAUUCCUGUAGGAUAAAUUUCAAACUCCUUCAUGUAACAUACAAGACUUUUCGUGAUCUGGCCCUUGCCUUCUUUUUGGCCUCACCCUAACCAUAUCCAUGACCCUUCUGCAGUGCUGAGAACUGACUCUAUUUUCCCUAGUUUCUCUACCUCUACACAUGCUAUGCCCCCUUCAAGGAACACUUUCUACUUGCCACCUUGCUUGGCAUUCUACCUCUGAUCUUUGAGACCAGGCUCAGGUAUCAGCUCAUUCACUCUUGUCCAUACUUCAAGAAACGCUUACUAUGUGCCACGCAUUGCACUUGUGCUUGAGUUACAAACACAGUCCCUGCCCUGGAGUGACAUGGAAUCAAAUGAAGUUAGACAAGUACUGUAUCAGACAGGGUAUACUAAUAGCUGUAACAGACAACCUUCACAUUUCAGUGACUUGACACCAUGACAUUUUAUUUCUUGCUUACAACAUGAUCCAGUGCAAGUGAGCACAGAGGUUCUACUCUAUGCAGUGAGCCACCAUUGCCAUUUUCUGGGGCCUCUGAGUCCUCCACUCAAUAUUUUUGCACCUGGCCAGGCAUGAGGAAAGGAGAAGUUUGGAAGAUCUCAUGGGAGUUUUUAGGGGAUGUCCAGAAACGGGAUAUAUUUACCACUUCUGUCCAGAUUCCAUUACCCAGAGCUCAAUUACAUGGGCCUACCUGAUUACUGAGAAAUGUAGUUUUAUUAUGAACCUAGGAGGAAAAUGAAAUGGGCUGGUGAAAAGAGUUGUUUUUCCUGCCACAGGUUUAUCAACAAGAACAAUAAAGAAGCUCAUGGUCUAACAGAGGAAACAGACAAGUGAACAGAGACAUGAAGGCAAGAGAGAACAGAGUCAGGUGGGAUGCAACUCUUUCUUUGUGGUGUUACUAUAAGAAAGUUCUAGAACUGCUGGAAGCCCUUCUGUGGCUCCCUUCAGAGCUCCUAAGGAUUGCUUUUCUGGGCCCCUUUA
rnacentral:lncRNA from 1 species